UGGCUGGGUCGACUUUGACACAACUCUCAUCCACAUGCCUGAGGAAGAGGAUGCUUGCCCCAAGGUGUGCACCUGCAAACCCAACACUAUGUGGCUAGGAACUGCUUCUUACGAGUGCGAGGAGGCAUGCUAGAGAAACUGAGACCCGGAACCAACGUCCUUCUGUUGGAUUCUCAAUCCAAGGACAAGGCGAUGAACAUGUUUUUGAGAAUGUAGAAACUUUUAAUCUUUACAGUGACUUGUAAGAAUUUAAAAUGUUGACAAAUGCAACUCUCAAUAUUAAAUUUUUGAAUGAUUUUUUCACGUGAACAAACGUUUAGAAUUUUAAAACUGUUGUGUAAGGAAAAAUAGUAUUAAUUAUAUAAACUAUUUUCAUUAGCAAAAUAUAAAAAAUUA